rnacentral:tRNA from 1 species
GGGGAUGUGGCUCAAGUGGUAGUGCACUCACCUGGCAUGUGUGGGGCACUGGGUUUGAUCCUCAGCAUCAUGU